UACAGAGGGGGCGAGCGUUGUUCGGAAUUACUGGGCGUAAAGGGCUCGUAGGUGGCCGACUAAGUUAGACGUGAAAUCCCUCAGCUUAACUGGGGAACUGCGUCUGAUACUGGAUGGCUUGAGUUUGGGAGAGGGAUGCGGAAUUCCAGGUGUAGCGGUGAAAUGCGUAGAUAUCUGGAGGAACACCGGUGGCGAAGGCGGCAUCCUGGACCAACACUGACACUGAGGAGCGAAAGCCAGGGGAGCAAACGGG
rnacentral:rRNA from 1 species